CAGGAAGUGGCUAUUAAGGUUCUCAAGUCUGAGUGCCUAAAUGAAGAUGUGCAAAGAGAUUUUGCUGAAGAAAUUUAUAUAUUUAGGGUUGUCAAUUCCUUUGGAUCAUAACGUUCUAUUCUACUCAGCUUCCUGGUCCAAACUAUCACUGUCGUGAGGGUUCAAAGCUUGCCACGCUUCCUCCUCCUGACAACAUUUUACAAGCACUAUUGUAA